rnacentral:rRNA from 1 species
CCCUUAGAUGUUCUGGGCCGCACGCGCGCUACACUGAUGCAUUCAACGAGUGUUUCCUUGGCCGAGAGGCCUGGGCAAUCUUUUGAAUGUGCAUCGUGAUAGGGAUAGAUUGUUGCAAUUAUUAAUCUUGAACGAGGAAUUCCUAGUAAACGCAGUUCAUCAAACUGCAUUGAUUACGUCCCUGCCCUUUGUACACACCGCCCGUCGCACCUACCGAUUGAAUGGUCCGGUGAAAUCUCGGGACGGCGGCUCGGUCGCUUGCGUCCGACUGCUGAAACUUGAUUAAACCAUAUCAUUUAGAGGAAGGUGAAGUCGUAACA